AGCGGCGGAUGGGUGAGUAACACGUGGGGAACCUGCCCCUAAGUCUGGGAUACCAUUUGGAAACAGGUGCUAAUACCGGAUAAUAAAGCAGAUCGCAUGAUCAGCUUUUGAAAGGCGGCGUAAGCUGUCGCUAAGGGAUGGCCCCGCGGUGCAUUAGCUAGUUGGUAGGUAACGGCUUACCAAGGCGACGAUGCAUAGCCGAGUUGAGAGACUGAUCGGCCACAUUGGGACUGAGACACGGCCCAAACUCCUACGGGGGGCAGCAGUAGGGAAUCUUCCACAAUGGACGCAAAUCUGAUGGAGCAACGCCGCGUGAGUGAAGAAGGUUUUCGGAUCGUAAAGCUCUGUUGUUGGUGAAGAAGGAUAGAGGUAGUAACUGGCCUUUAUUUGACGGUAAUCAACCAGAAAGUCACGGCUAACUACGUGCCAGCAGCCGCGGUAAUACGUAGGUGGCAAGCGUUGUCCGGAUUUAUUGGGCGUAAAGCGAGCGCAGGCGGAAAAAUAAGUCUAAUGUGAAAGCCCUCGGCUUAACCGAGGAACUGCAUCGGAAACUGUUUUUCUUGAGUGCAGAAGAGGAGAGUGGAACUCCAUGUGUAGCGGUGGAAUGCGUAGAUAUAUGGAAGAACACCAGUGGCGAAGGCGGCUCUCUGGUCUGCAACUGACGCUGAGGCUCGAAAGCAUGGGUAGCGAACAGGAUUAGAUACCCUGGUAGUCCAUGCCGUAAACGAUGAGUGCUAAGUGU
rnacentral:rRNA from 1 species